CCUACGGGAGGCAGCAGUGAGGAAUAUUGGUCAAUGGACGCGAGCCUGAACCAGCCAAGUAGCGUGAAGGAUGACUGCCCUACGGGUUGUAAACUUCUUUUAUAAAGGAAUAAAGUGAUGCACGUGUGCCUUUUUGUAUGUACUUUAUGAAUAAGGAUCGGCUAACUCCGUGCCAGCAGCCGCGGUAAUACGGAGGAUCCGAGCGUUAUCCGGAUUUAUUGGGUUUAAAGGGAGCGUAGGUGGGUUGUUAAGUCAGUUGUGAAAGUUUGCGGAUCAACCGUAAAAUUGCAGUUGAAACUGGCAGCCUUGAGUACAGUAGAGGUAGGCGGAAUUCGUGGUGUAGCGGUGAAAUGCAUAGAUAUCACGCAGAACACCGAUUGCGAAGGCAGCCUACUAGACCGCAACUGACACUGAUGCACGAAAGUGUGGGUAUCGAACAGGAUUAGAUACCCGAGUAGUC
rnacentral:rRNA from 1 species